GCAAACUUGGUCAUUUAGAGGAAGUAAAAGUCAUAACAAGGUUUCCGUAGGUGAACCUGCGGAAGGAUCAUUAAUGAUGCCCUCGAAGUCUUUGGACUGGUAGGGUUUGUGUCGGUCUCUUCGGAGUCGACCUUAUCUCACACACCGUGAACUGUGGCUUCGGCCAUUUACACAAACUGUUAGUAAUGAAUGUAAAAUCAUAACAAACAUAAAACUUUUAACAACGGAUCUCUUGGCUCUCGCAUCGAUGAAGAACGCAGC
rnacentral:misc_RNA from 1 species